CAGUAGCCGCGGGAAUACGUAGGUCCCGAGCGUUGUCCGGAUUUAUUGGGCGUAAAGCGAGCGCAGGCGGUUAGAUAAGUCUGAAGUUAAAGGCAUUGGCUCAACCAAUGUAUGCUUUGGAAACUGUUAGACUUGAGUGCAGAAGGGGAGAGUGGAAUUCCAUGUGUAGCGGUGAAAUGCGUAGAUAUAUGGAGGAACACCGGUGGCGAAAGCGGCUCUCUGGUCUGUCACUGACGCUGAGGCUCGAAAGCGUGGGUAGCGAACAGGAUUAGAGACCCCGGUAGUCCCUGUCUCUUAUACC
rnacentral:rRNA from 1 species